UCAAGUUAUUAAGGGUGCAGGGCGGAUGCCUUGGCACUAGGAGCCGAUGAAGGACGUGAUAAGCUGCGAUAAGCUUCGGGGAGUUGCACGUAAACUUUGAUCCGAAGAUUUCCGAAUGAGGAAACUCACUUAGAGUAAUGUCUAAGUAUCAUUAAGUGAAUACAUAGCUUAAUGAGGGGAACUCAGGGAACUGAAACAUCUAAGUACCUGAAGGAAGAGAAAGAAAUUCGAUUCCGUAAGUAGCGGCGAGCGAACGCGGAUUAGCCCAAACCAAUAAAGUUUUCUUUAUUGGGGUUGCGGACAUAUCAUAACGAAGAGGUAUCGUAAUUGAAGAGGUUUGGAAAGACCCACCACAGAAGGUAAUAGUCCUGUAUGUUAAACGAGAAGACUUUAGAUAUGAUCCAGAGUACCACGGGACACGUGAAACCCUGUGGGAAGCAGGAGGGACCACCCUCCAAGGCUAAAUACUACCUAGUGACCGAUAGCGUAUAGUACCGUGAGGGAAAGGUGAAAAGAACCCCGGGAGGGGAGUGAAAUAGAACCUGAAACCCUGCACUUACAAGCUGUGGAAGCACAUUUCUUGUGUGACCGCGUACUUUUUGUAGAACGGGCCAACGAGUUACGUUAAGUAGCAAGGUUAAGCACUUAAGGUGCGGAGCCGUAGCGAAAGCGAGUUUUAACUGAGCGUUCAGUUACUUGACGUAGACCCGAAACCGGGCGACCUACCCAUGAGCAGGAUGAAGCGAAAGUAAAAUUUCGUGGAGGUCCGAACCCACGAGCGUUGAAAAGCUCGGGGAUGACUUGUGGGUAGCGGUGAAAUUCCAAUCGAGCCCGGAGAUAGCUGGUUCUCCCCGAAAUAGCUUUAGGGCUAGCCUCAAGGUGAGAGAUACGGAGGUAGAGCACUGAAUGUCCUAGGGGGUAUUGCACCUACCGAAGACUAUCAAACUCCGAAUGCCGUCAUCUUAUACUUGGGAGUCAGACUGUGGGUGAUAAGAUUCAUAGUCGAAAGGGCAACAGCCCAGAUCGUCAGCUAAGGUCCCUAAAUGUAAGUUAAGUGGUAAAGGAUGUGGGAUUGCACAGACAACCAGGAUGUUGGCUUAGAAGCAGCCACUCAUUCAAAGAGUGCGUAAUAGCUCACUGGUCGAGUGAUCCUGCGCCGAAGAUUUCCGGGGCUAAAACUUACUACCGAAGCUACGGCAUCAGUAAUGAUGGGUAGGGGAGCUUCCCAUACGGGUUGAAGCAUGACCGUAAGGACAUGUGGACAGUAUGGGAGUGAGAAUGUUGGCAUGAGUAGCGAGAUGUGGGUGAGAAUCCCACAGGCCGUAAACCCAAGGUUUCCAGGGGAAGGUUCGUCCGCCCUGGGUUAGUCGGGACCUAAGCUGAGGCCGAAAGGCGUAGGUGAUGGACAACAGGUUGAUAUUCCUGUACUACCGAUAACCGUUUGAGAGAAGGGAUGACACAGUAGGAUAAGCUAAGCACACUGUUGGUUAUGUGUGCCCAAGCAUUGAGGCAGUCAAAGUAGGCAAAUCCGCUUUGAUAAUGCUGGGAUGUGAUGGGGAGCGAAAUUUAGUAGCGAAGUAGCUGAUUUCACACUGUCAAGAAAAGUCUCUAUCGAGGUUAAAGGUACCCGUACCGCAAACCGACACAGGUGGGUGAGGAGAGUAUCCUAAGGCCAGCGAGAGAACUGUUGUUAAGGAACUCGGCAAAAUGACCCCGUAACUUAGGGAUAAGGGGUGCCACCAUCAGGUGGCCGCAGAGAAUAGGCCCAAGCGACUGUUUACCAAAAACAUAGGUUUCUGCUAAGUCGCAAGACGAUGUAUAGGAGCUGACGCCUGCCCGGUGCUGGAAGGUUAAGGGGAUCUGUUAGAGCAAUCGAAGCAGUGAACUUAAGCCCCAGUAAACGGCGGCCGUAACUAUAACGGUCCUAAGGUAGCGAAAUUCCUUGUCGGGUAAGUUCCGACCCGCACGAAAGGCGUAACGAUUUGGGCACUGUCUCAACAACAGACUCGGUGAAAUUGUAAUUCCGGUGAAGAUGCCGGAUACCUGCGACAGGACGGAAAGACCCCAUGGAGCUUUACUGUAGCUUGACAUUGGGUCUUGGUACUACAUGUACAGGAUAGGUGGGAGGCUUUGAAACCAGGACGCCAGUUUUGGCGGAGCCAUCCUUGGGAUACCACCCUUGUAGUACUGGGACUCUAACCAUAGGCCAUGAAUCUGGUCUUGGGACACUGUCAGGUGGGCAGUUUGACUGGGGCGGUCGCCUCCCAAAAGGUAACGGAGGCGCUCAAAGGUUCUCUCAGUACGGUCGGAAAUCGUACGUAGAGUGUAAAGGCAAAAGAGAGCUUGAUUGCAAGACAUACAGGUCGAGCAAGGAUGAAAAUCGGACUUAGUGAUCCGGUGGUUCUGCGUGGAAGGGCCAUCGCUCAACGGAUAAAAGCUACCCUGGGGAUAACAGGCUUAUCUCCCCCAAGAGUCCACAUCGACGGGGAGGUUUGGCACCUCGAUGUCGGCUCAUCACAUCCUGGGGCUGUAGUAGGUCCCAAGGGUUGGGCUGUUCGCCCAUUAAAGUGGUACGCGAGCUGGGUUCAGAACGUCGUGAGACAGUUCGGUCCCUAUCCGUCGCAGGCGUAGGAAAUUUGAGAAGACCUGUCCCUGUCUCUUAUACACAUCUGACGCUGCCGACGAUAUGCAGUGUGUAGAUCUC
rnacentral:rRNA from 1 species